AGGGGAUGGGUAAGGUACGAUCGGAGGCAUUCUUGAGAAAAGGUAACAAUCUGCUUCCGGAGCUCAUCACGUACAGCACCUCUACAAUAGCGGCUGAGGAAUGUCACGAACACCGUACCCGCCUGUCAAAAUGAAUAAUAUCGUCGCACUGCU